AGAAUGAACGCUGGCGGCAGGCCUAACACAUGCAAGUCGAGCGAAGUCUUCGGACUUAGCGGCGGACGGGUGAGUAACGCGUGGGAAUUUGCCUUUCGGUGCGGGACAACCAAGGGAAACUUUGGCUAAUACCGCAUACGCCCUACGGGGGGAAAGAUUUAUCGCCGAAAGAGAAGCCCGCGUCGGAUUAGCUUGUUGGUAGGGUAAUGGCCUACCAAGGCGACGAUCCGUAGCUGGUCUGAGAGGAUGACCAGCCACACUGGGACUGAGACACGGCCCAGACUCC
rnacentral:rRNA from 1 species